rnacentral:sRNA from 1 species
ACACGGAAGGGAGGUGGUCCAAGAAGUGAUUUCUCAUUGGACGCGUGAGGUGACUGCGCGCUAGCGCACCUCGACUGCUCGAGGUCGCGUCUCCCGGCGCAAUCCCAGCAGUUCACCGCAGCCCGUGGGCCGUGCAGGUCGUCCCCUGCACUCGUCUUGCCGCCUCCCUUCGGAGUCGAAGCCGACAGGCCCACGGGCUGUUCCAU